rnacentral:rRNA from 1 species
CUAUGGCCUAUUGAUGUUCAGCGAGUGCUUGCGAUCCCUAUAUCACAACAUGAUAUGCCAGAUUUUGUAGCUUGGAAUUUCACAAAAAAUGGAAUUUUUUCCGUUUGGUCUGCUUAUUUUGUGGAAUGGGACCACCAACAUGGUAACAAGUUACGACAUACCAACGGGAUGGCACGUACCAUGGUCAAUCCUAUUUGGGGGAGGAUUUGGAAACUUUCUUGUCCAACAAAGGUUAAAAUAUUUAUUUGGCGUACACUUCAUGGCACUCUUCCGUGUCAUGUUAACCUAGCUAAUAGACAUGUGAAAGUCUCGCCUGAGUGUCCUUCCUGCUCAUCUAGGCCAGAAGGCACAAAGCAUCUGUUGUUUCUAUGUGACAGAGCAAAAGAAGUCUGGAGAAGACUAGGGAUGGACGAUAUUAUCGAUAGAGCUUAUAAAAUAGACUAUGCGAGUGAGGUGGUCUUGGAAUAUUUACUUUCAUUACCAGAUCAGGAGCUAUGUUCUAUGGGCACUCAAAAUGUGCGUGACAUGAUUGCCAUAUCAUGGUACUUAUGGUGGGAAAGGCGCAAAUUGGUACACAAUGAGACUACUUAG